UACGAAGGGGGCUAGCGUUGCUCGGAAUGACUGGGCGUAAAGGGCGCGUAGGCGGAUGGCACAGUCAGAUGUGAAAUUCCCGGGCUUAACCUGGGGGCUGCAUUUGAUACGUGUGAUCUAGAGUGAGGAAGAGGGUCGUGGAAUUCCCCAGUGUAGAGGUGAAAUUCGUAGAUAUUGGGGAAGAACACCGGUGGCGAAGGCGGCGUUCUGGACUGCAACUGACACUGAGGAACGAAAGCCAGG
rnacentral:rRNA from 1 species